rnacentral:snRNA from 1 species
UCUUUUCAGAUCGUAUAAAUCUUUCACCUUUUACUAAAGAUUUCUGUGGAGAGG